rnacentral:rRNA from 1 species
GAUGAACGCUAGCGGCAGGCCUAAUACAUGCAAGUCGAACGGGAUCCAGAUCAAAGCUUGCUUUGGUCUGGUGAGAGUGGCGCGCGGGUGCGUAACGCGUGAGCAACCUACCCUUGUCAGGGGGAUAGCCCGGCGAAAGUCGGAUUAAUACCGCAUGACAUCAUUGAGAGGCAUCUUUCGAUGAUCAAAGAUUUAUCGGACAAGGAUGGGCUCGCGUGACAUUAGCUAGUUGGUAAGGUAACGGCUUACCAAGGCUGCGAUGUCUAGGGGCUCUGAGAGGAGAAUCCCCCACACUGGUACUGAGACACGGACCAGACUCCUACGGGAGGCAGCAGUAAGGAAUAUUGGUCAAUGGACGGAAGUCUGAACCAGCCAUGCCGCGUGCAGGAAGACGGCCCUACGGGUUGUAAACUGCUUUUAUACGGGAACAAACGUCGGUACGUGUACCGGUCUGAGUGUACCGUAAGAAUAAGGAUCGGCUAACUCCGUG